AAUACUGUAUUAUAACAAUUUUCAGAUCGUUAAUAUGGCUUAGCCAUAAUUCAAGCGAUUUCGCUAAUUUCUACACAUAUUUUAACAUUUCAUUAUUCAGUGCAAUUAUUCUAAUGAUACCCCACAUCUCGUAGUCAGUUAGUUCUGCUGUAAACCCCUCGACAAAUCGCCUACUAAAGGGCGAAUAUUUUGAAGUUGUCAGCGCCAUCCACAAAGUAUUUUUAUUUUAUUAUGAUUAAAGUGAAAUAAAGUAGAUCGGGAAAUUACCUAAACUAUACGAAAAUAAAAAUAAAAUAUAAAAAAAAAAAAAUUCAUUGUAGUGUUUAUAGAUACUGACCACCUUGUGAUUCUUCGCAACUGAAUGUUAUCAAAGUCCCGUUGAAGAGCAAUGGGAACAUCUAUGAGUCGGGCCGUCCGUAAGCCGUCUUAUUGCGUAACAAGGAACUAUUGGGGAUAUGACUGCGCUCAUGUAUCACAUGAUUGACCAUAGAUCAUCAUGUAGAAUAUGUUAACAACCAUGGAUACCAUUCCGUUGCCGAUUAUUGCUAAAACUGAGUUAGAGAAUCGCAUAAUCGGUAGUACAAAUGGCAAAUUGCAAGUUUGCGAUCCGACAAAUCAUGUCGACAAAAAUUACGAAUUACACCACUGAAAGAAGAGUAUGCUACCAUAACAGAAGAAAACAUAAGUACUCCGCCCAUUAAAAAAUCUCUUAAUUGCCUUCUUUAUAUAUUAUUUUAGGGUUGUGUUAUUUUAUAAUAAUACCUUAGAGCAAACAGAAAAUACGAUAGCCUGAAAUUUUUAAUUAGGAUUGGAUUUACUGAACGAAUUUAAACGAAAAAUGAUACAAAACCAAAACGAAUUGCAAUUAUUAUAAAGAAAUACGUAAAUAAAUUAAAUUGAUUAGAGAGAACUACAGAACUUAAUUUGAGUUUACUUUUGAUCUAUUAAGUGCAUUUGGAAUAAGAUAUUACAAAAAUUAAUAAUUUCAAAAAAAAAGCUUCUCAUUUCGAUACAUAC